rnacentral:lncRNA from 1 species
UUAAAGGAGGACGUACAUUUCUAGAAAAUACCAGCUUCUCCUGAUUAAUAAGAGUGAGAAUGGGGAACAGAUUUUAGGAGGAUCGAAAACGACAGAUACGAUCAUGAAUGGACCGACUUACAAGGAUUAGAUAUCCCUUCACGAUCUUGCCACGUGUAUGGUCGAUGUCACCUCUGCACUCUAUAUAAAUGGACACUCCUCAAUUCUCGUUCUACAUCCUCAAACACACUUGUUUUCUUAAAUUUGCAUAUUUCUUAUCAACAAAACACUUUCUCGAUUUUGAAAAUGUCUUGCUGUGGAGGAAACUGUGGUUGUGGAUCUGCCUGCAAGUGCGGCAACGGCUGUGGCGGGUAUGCCUUCUUAUUUUCCUCCCUCACAUUUGAUACAGAAUUUGUUGUUAUUUUAUGUUAUUUUUAUUGACAUACAGUUUUGCUGUAUCAACCCAUUUUUUUUGUGAACGGUGGUGUUUAGGCAUGUACCUUCCAUCAACACAGGUGUGGGUUAAUUUUGCCCAUCAAACAACAAUAACAACAACUCAAUAUAAUACCACUUUAAUGGGGUCUGAGCACUUAAUGGGGUAUGAGAAGGAUAGUGUGUACGUGAACCUUACUUUUACUUUUGGUUAGAAAGUCUGUUUCCAAAUAAACAUUCGGCAUACUUCCCUCCAAGAACUCACUUCUCUCUUGGGAAGACUCGAACUCACAACCUCUUGCUUCCUCUUGAUUGGAAGCGGGGUUGCUUACCAUCAAAGCAACUUAUUGCAAGAUUGUAUUUUCCCACAAUUUCCCAAUAAGUCACGGGUUUGGUGAAAACUGCUACUAUUCAUCCUAUUAUGAUAGACCGUUUAUAAUUAUAUCAUACUUAUACCUUGCAUGAAUGUGUGGACUGCUUUUUGUUUUGGGGUGAAUUCUAUUUUACAUGCCAAAAAAAGAUAACUUGUGCUUAUAACAAGUUCACAUCCAUUCUAAACUUGCUGACUUUUGUAUUGCGUAACUUUUUUGCAAAAGUUUUAUGAGUGUGUGCUAUGGUAGAAAAGUUGAAUGUGUA